rnacentral:lncRNA from 1 species
GUGUUGCAGGGGAGCUAUCCAGUUUGGGAAGAUUUCAUAAACAAAGCAGGAAAGCUGCAGUCCCAGCUUCGACAACAGUAGUAGCAGCAGCUGCCUUCUUGGACGCCUUUCAGAAAGUGGCUGACAUGGCCACCAACACACGUGUGGGACCAGGGAGAUUGGAUCUGCUCUCACCAGGAUGUGCAUGAGGCACAGAAGCAUUGAAGCCAAGCUGAGGCAGUUUUCGACGCUUUAAUUGAUUGUCUGAUAAACCCACUUCAAGAACAGAUGGAAGAAUGGAAGAAAGUGGCCAACCAGCUGGAUA